CACAGGGAUUGCCUCAGUAACGGCGAGUGAAGCGGCAAUAGCUCAAAUUUGAAAUCUGGUCCUUUCAGGUCCCGAAUUGUAAUUUGUAGAGGAUGUUUCGGCUCACGCCCCGGUCUAAGUUCCUUGGAACAGGACGUCACAGAGGGUGAGAACCCCGUUUGUGGCCGGCGGCUUACGCCAUGUGAAACUCCUUCGACGAGUCGAGUUGUUUGGGAAUGCAGCUCUAAAUGGGAGGUAAAUUUCUUCUAAAGCUAAAUACUGGCCAGAGACCGAUAGCGCACAAGUAGAGUGAUCGAAAGAUGAAAAGCACUUUGGAAAGAGAGUUAAAAAGUACGUGAAAUUGUUGAAAGGGAAGCGCUUGCGACCAGACUUGCCCGCGGAUGCUCAGCCGGUCCUUCGGCCGGUGUACUCUUCCGCGGUCAGGCCAGCAUCAGUUCGGGCGGUCGGAUAAAGGCCUUGGGAAUGUAACUCACCUCGGUGAGUGUUAUAGCCCUCGGUACAAUACGGCCCGCCUGGACUGAGGAACGCGCUUCGGCUAGGAUGCUGGCGUAAUGGUCGUAAGCGGCCCGUCUUGAAACACGGACCAAGGAGUCUAACAUCUAUGCGAGUGUUUGGGUGUCAAACCCGUGCGCGAAAUGAAAGUGAACGGAGGUGGGAGCCCUCACGGGUGCACCAUCGACCGAUCCUGAUGUCUUCGGAUGGAUUUGAGUAAGAGCAUAGCUGUUGGGACCCGAAAGAUGGUGAACUAUGCCUGAAUAGGGUGAAGCCAGAGGAAACUCUGGUGGAGGCUCGCAGCGGUUCUGACGUGCAAAUCGAUCGUCAAAUUUGGGUAUAGGGGCGAAAGACUAAUCGAACCAUCUAGUAGCUGGUUCCUGC
rnacentral:rRNA from 1 species